rnacentral:rRNA from 1 species
AUACGAAGGGGGCUAGCGCUGUUCGGAAUUACUGGGCGUAAAGCGCGCGUAGGCGGCUUUGUCAGUCAGGGGUGAAAUCCCGGGGCUUAACCUCGGAACUGCCCUUGAUACUGCAAGACUUGAGUCUGUGAGAGGAUGGUGGAAUACCCAGUGUAGAGGUGAAAUUCGUAGAUAUUGGGUGGAACACCAGUGGCGAAGGCGGCCAUCUGGCACAGUACUGACGCUGAGGUGCGAAAGCGUGGGGAGC